rnacentral:rRNA from 1 species
CCUACGGGUGGCAGCAGUGGGGAAUAUUGCACAAUGGGGGAAACCCUGAUGCAGCGACGCCGCGUGAGUGAAGAAGUUUUUCGGUACGUAAAGCUCUAUCAGCAGGGAAGAAAAUGACGGUACCUGACUACGAAUCCCCGGCUAACUACGUGCCAGCAGCCGAGGUACCACGUAGGGGGCAAGCGUUAUCCGGAUUUACUGGGUGUAAAGGGAGCGUAGACGGCAGCGCAAGUCUGGAGUGAAAUCCCAUGGCUUAACCAUGGAACUGCUGUGGAAACUGUGCAGCUAGAGUGCAGGAGAGGUAAGCGGAAUGCGCGGUGUAGCGGUGAAAUGCAUAGAUAUCGCGCAGAACUCCGAUUGCGAAGGCAGCAUGCCGGCUCCACACUGACGCUGAGGCACGAAAGCGUGGGUAUCGAACAGGAUUAGAUACCCUAGUAGUC